rnacentral:rRNA from 1 species
UACAGAGGUCCCGAGCGUUGUUCGGAUUUACUGGGCGUAAAGGGUGCGUAGGCGGUCGGAUAAGUCUGAUGUGAAAUCUCAGAGCUCAACUCUGAAACUGCAUUGGAUACUAUUCGGCUUGAGGUCUGGAGGGGGGACUGGAAUUCUCGGUGUAGCAGUGAAAUGCGUAGAUAUCGAGAGGAACACCAGUGGCGAAGGCGAGUCCCUGGACAGAUCCUGACGCUGAGGCACGAAAGCUAGGGGAGCAAACAGG